AAGGACUUUUUAUUACAGGCAGGCUAUAAGUUAACUAGUGGUCUGACCUUUGUUUAAACUUUCUUGGGACUUUUAUGACCCUUUUACAAUUCUUGUAAAUAGUUCACUUUAGAACUUAUUUCUUUCAACAUUUCUCUUUUCCUUCUUAUCACACAUGUAACCUUCACAAAUUUCACCCUUUCAAAUUAGCCUUCAAACCUUCUAUGUCCUUCAAACAUGCAUAACCAUGCCUCAGGCCUUCCAUUAAGUAUUUCUACUCUAACAUUCUUUCUUUCUUUUAUGGCACCAAGGCUG